CAGUGCAUUGCUAAACAGUGUAAUCUGCAGAGUCAAGCAGGGGUGUUCGGUUUCCUGUGUACAUGCACAUUAAAACCACUAGCUUACAGGAAAUGACAAGGCAAACAAACAAACAAGGAAAGAAAUGGCAAAGAAGUGUCUACAGCAUUAUAUUAUUGGCAAUGAACCCACACGCUCUGGUUAAUUAAUCACUGCGACCAUGAUCACAAGGGAGAUGGACAGUAGGCAACACCAGCCGACCAAGAAGCUGAACUUGUAGCUGUGGUUCUGCAUUGCUACAUGAACGUAUCAGAGAAAACAGGUUGUUAAUAGAGAAGCCACACAAUCUGUAGUAACACCACCAAUCAUGGAGCUUCUCAUUUAAAAGCAAACGUGAAGAUUAAAAUAGCUGCUGAUAUGAAGGGUGCUCAGCAUUUAUGUGGUGUGUGUGUGUGUGUGUUAUUUCAAGUGGAGCUAAAACAGUGCUGAGUGAUGUGACAGAACAGUGGGUUUUCACCUUUCCAAGGUGUUUUCCCCUUUAACCCACACACAGAAUUCACCCACAGGUGAGUGAAACAUCAAGUCCUACAUUGAAUUAGACAACAACUUGGCAUGUACAGUUUCUAGGUCUCAGGGAAUUCUUCACAAAGUCUGAGUUCUUUUACAGUGUGGGUGUCAAAGUAAAUUGUACACAGUUGCUUUUCAUUAGGAAUCCUAGGAACAGGAAACACACGUGGUUAUUAGUGGUAAAUAUGAUCGUAUAAUUUUGAAUUCUAUCUAUCUAUCUAUCUAUCUAUCUAUCUAUCUAUCUAUCUAUCUAUCUAUCUAUCUAUCUAUCUAUCUAUCUAUCUAUCUAUCUGUCUGUCUGUCUGUCUGUCUGUCUGUCUGUCUAUCUAUCUAUCUAUAUGUGGGGAGAGAGAGAGAGAGAGAGAGAGAGAGAGAGAUAGAAUAUAUAUAUAUAUAGAUGCUGAUUUAUUAUCAGCAUGUCUGAGCAUAUAUCCUCUUUUCAUACUGUUGCAUAUUUGUAUUACAUCACUUUUAAGGUCUUCCAUUUCUUAUCACAUUCAUUAAUGUACUAUACUUAAUUAAUGCCACAAGCCUUAAAUUACUCUGCACAUUAUAAUUAUUUCUUGCCCAUUAUCCACAGCUCUAUGCCAAGAUAGCAAGUAAAUUCAAAUAAUACCUCUGUAAGUCUAACUUGAAAUCAUAUUUCUAUGAAUCAGUUAAGAGAGAAUGUACUCACCUCAUGUAGUGUAAAGACCAAUGAACUAAUAUGUGUUUGUUCCAGUCACAUACAUCAACUCUGCCCACAGGAUUUCCCCUAGUUUGAUCUCUUUUGGUACAGAGAUUCACUCUCUCACUCACCCUGUGGUUGGAAAAGAAACUCAAGCAACGUGGACAUCUUCUUCUUAUAGAUUUAGAGAAAGUUCAGCUCAAGUUAUCAUUUCCCAGAGCUAUGAAGUCACGUGAUGACCAUGACAUAUACAACAAAUUCAAUAUGUUUGAAACCAAAGUAGGUUUUCUGAAGUAUUUCAGCUUUUGUCGCAUUCAAAGUCUUUGACUGCUUCAGAUUCAGUGCAUCUAUAUUAACUAUAUUACAUACUGGUUUUUAUCACUGAUUAAAUGGGUUUUAAGGUUCAGUUAAACUAUAGAAUUUAAUCAUCUGGACAAUUUCUCAGUAUGUGCAUGGUGAUGCAAUGGAUAGCUCAUGGUCCCCGGUUUGACUCUCCAGUUCUCUGAGUUUUUUACUCUGCCUUCUAAAAACAUUCCAGCAGGCAUGCCUGUACUAAAUUGCCCCUGUAAUUGCUUCUCAUUCAUUACAUCACACAUACUUUUCCAGGAAAAAUGACAAUUUGAUAAUGAAAUAAGAUUAAAAAUCAUGUUUCACAGAUGUUCCUUUAUUUAGGCUGUCAUUUAAAAAAAAAAUGCAUGGCUUUUUCUUCUAUUCUCCAAUGGAAUUAUAUACUUGGCUUUUUAUAAUUGCUUCCAACCUUAUUUGCAUACUAUGAAAUAAAAAAUAAAUAUUCUCAGCACACCAAGGCCGCCAUUUAUUAUUUAUUAUUUUAAAAAAAAAGAAGAAGAAGAAAGAAAUACAUGCAAGGUAUUCAUGUAAAAUGAAAUGCAAUUGACUUCCACAUUUCGAGUGACAAUACUUGUCUCAGGGUUCUUUUUUUUUCUUCUUUUUUUCACAGACUAAUUCAGUGGUGUUCAAUAUAUGGGACAACCCCGGGUAAGCCACUUGUACUUUCCUGCAAAGACACAGAGACACCCACGCAACAACAUACCCCACCCACAAGAUAUAAACACACAUACUCAGACUGGUGCUGUCCCUGGAUCAUGCAACUUACAAGGUUAUAACAUAAACAACAAUAAAUCAGCUAUAUUUCUGCAGGUGAAAUGCAGAAGUACUUAUUUAGUGUCAAAAGGUUACCAGCUGACUUGUUAGCUUUGCUUCUUUUCUCACGUCGCACAUAUUUGGCAAAAACAUAGAAGAAAAUAAUGAAAAUGUAAUAAAAUUUAUUAUAAAAAAAAAGAAAAGAAGACAUAAUCAGUGUACUCACAUAACAAACAUUCAGCAUUUAUCAAAGAAGGAAGAACAUAGUUCAGAGAAAGGCUGAAACAAACAUCAACAUGUAGGUGGACAGUGAUUGUGUGGGAAACUCUUUUGCAGAGCUGUAAGAGUUUUUUCCCCCAUGUUGGCUGCUAAAGCACAGGCAAAUGUCUUUCUGUUUUCAUUUGUAUGGGAGGAAAAACAGAAAGCGAAACAGAGGGAAUGAGAAACAUAAAAGUGUUGAUAUGUUAAAAACAGCAUUACUGUUCCAUUCAUGUCCACAGAGCAAGUAAAAUGACAUUCCUCUUGUGGUUACCUACACAAUCAUGAAACACUGGCUGAAUUCCCCGCUAUGUCUUGGCCUAGUUUUUGUCACACACCUGAUUUGAAAACGUGAUAACGGUGCAGAGUCUGAAGCAUAGGGCCAAACACAUACACUGAAUAACAGAGAAAAGACACAGGGCAGGGGCAGAUUUCCUUCUAGUUCAGUCUAUACAUUCCUGCAACCUAUCAGGGACAGUGUCAAGUAAGUACAGAGAGUGAAAUGCCCACUAGCUUUGAUUUUCCUGAUUAAAAUUGCACUACAGUUAUAUUAUAUUAUUCAUUAUAGUCGAGCUGUUCUGCCACAAACCUGUAUUCAUUAUUAUAUUUUUAUAUUGUCUAUUUAGUUUCCCCUUUCCUACUUCCUACUGUAAAUAUAUUCUAUUUUUAUUGUAAUUCUAUUGUUUUCCACUUCACUGCAUGUCGUAUUGUGUGCGGUUGUGUAUGUGACAAAUAAAAUUUAAUGAAACAAUUUUCACCGACUCGUCGGCUAUAAAUCAUUAGCCGCGAUUGAGAAGGUACAUGUGAAUUACGUUAGGGAGUGUAAACAUACAUGAGGCAGAUUAUUCAGUCUUGAUGGAGAUAAAAUUAGACAGAGAGAGCAUACAUCAUUAUAGUAUAAAUUACAGGACCGAUGUUUGAACUGUAGGUUUAGUUGGGGGGGGGGGGGGGGUAUAUCUUUGUUUUUUGUUUAUAUUGUUUUUAAUCCUACCAUUUAAUAUCACAACUAGUCUUCCCUGCUCAGGAUGUACUGUCUCGAGCUCCUAAGGCACAUUACUUGAGCAUGCUUUAUGCUAAUAAACUUUAGGGUUAUACUGAAAUACUAUUUAUAGCAAAAGUCUAAAACUCGUGUCCUUGAGGGCCACAGCGUUCACCUUCUUCACCUUCUCAGCCCAUGAAAGUAUAUUUUAAUUAGCUGAAUCUAGAGUAUUAAAUAAGGUAGCAUGCUAAACCUUGGAAGCAUGGCCCUGAAAUGGAUUUAUAGUGCUUAGAACCUUAUUUACAUACAUUUUACAUAUUAAAGAAGUGUAAUAACCACAAAAUCACCACAAAAUCACAGACUUUAUUUGAUUGAUGUAAAUCUGACAGCUCUAAAUCGUCAAACUAAUAAAAUGUAGACAGCUCUGCUUCUCCAGGAGAGGAUCUUCAUCUUGUACAUGCUGAAGUCUCUUCAUCACAGGUGAGCCACUACGAGUAGUCAGCACUGAGGAAUACAUAUGAAUAUUUUAAAUACGAUAUAUGUAUUCAUGUAUUCAUAAUUCCUCUGAAAUGAUAUUACUUGAGUGUUAUUAUUUCAGCUGAAAAAGAGAAUGGAUAUUAUAGCUAUUCACUAUAACAACAGUGCUGAGAACGAAGCUGUAUGAAUUUUCAGGAAGGAUCAGACACACAGCUGCUCUCAGGUCAUCUCAUUACCUCCGCUUUUUUUUUUCUUCCAGCUUACAAAACUCUGAAACAGGAGAGAGAUAUUUAUGACAGACAUGGGGAUUGUCCACUGAACAUAUAAAGACAGAAUCAGUACAUCACAUUGCACUGGCAUUUUUCUGAGUAGGUGCAUUUCUCUAUUCUCUGUAAUUUGCACCGAGUUAACAGAAGCACCUGCGGAACUUUCAAAGAAGCAGUAGCAAAUUAUCACGCACCUUUUGUCCGUGGAGUUAUUGAAAACUUGUCAAUAAGACUGAAGCAUUUCAUUUUUGCCUUAAAGUUGUUCACCAAGUCCUCUGUCGACUCGUUACGUGC